rnacentral:SRP_RNA from 2 species
GCCGGGCAUGGUGGUGCAUGCCUGUAAUCCCAGCUACUCAGGAGGCUGAGGCAGGAGAAUCACUUGGACCCAGGAGGCGGAGGUUGCAGUGAGCCAAGAUUGCACCAUUGCACUCCAGCCUGGGUGACAGAGUGAGACCCUGUCUCAA